rnacentral:lncRNA from 1 species
UUCUUUUGAGCUUGUCUCGAAUUUGGGCUUCAUGACUCUUCCUUAAUGUUCAUCGUAGCAUCUCCGACACUUUUCAUUAGUUUUCACUGCCUUUCAUUAUUUAGUUUUCCACCCUCUCUCUCCUAUGGUCGUGCCUUAUCAAAUCCAAACCUCCAUCUCCCCCAUCCUUUCCAUUUACCUCCCUUCUUUAUGACUCAUUCCCACCCCAUCCUUUGCUUCGAUUUGUGGCUCUGAACAGAAAAUGGAUGCCAGACUUCCCUCACUUUCCUUCCCCGUCUAGCAUGCUGAAACCCCCUCGAGGCCAAGUGUUCUGCGGCUUCAGCCAAAGUAAGGUAACCCUUAGCCUCACAUUUAUCUAUGUGUUACUAUUUUUGUAUAUAUUUUUAGAGGUUGGUGAAGGAAAUUUGGAUCCAAUGACUAUUUCUUAGUUUCGCGUUUCCAAUGACGAAAUCUUAUUGUGGUGUGCUUUUGGUUACAAAUUUGUAAUUUUUGUGCUACAAUGUCUUGGUCAAGUUGACCACUUAGCCAUUUUCUCUAUUGUUGUUGCCUUGAUGCUAGCAAGAUGUUCACGACGGCGACGACGGGAGCUGCUUUAUGCGUUUGGAGGAUAGGGUUGAGGCUUUUAGUUUGUUUGCUUAUUGUGUUGGGCUUUUGCAUUUCUGAUUUCCCCAGUAUAUUUUGAGUUAUUUUGUCUUCUCUUGAGUUAGCCUGUAACAUAUUUUCUGCUUAAUAAAUCAUAGUUUUCGACAACAAAAAAUGAAAAAAAAAAAAGAGUACCGACUACACCCAGUUUCCAAUGUUAGCCCACCUUUAUGUCAUGACAUCAUGAAAGAUUCAGACUAUGGGAGAUCUUUGUUGGACACGGAUUGUCUGCCCUCCCAUUUUCUGUGAUCAUCCGUGCCCUCUUGUUUGUAUGGUUACUGUUAAAUCACGUUAACAUUUUAUAUUAUCUUUUUAUAGAGAUAAUAAGAUAAAAAUAAAUAAUAAUAUAAAAUGUUGACAUGGUUUAAUCGUGACCACAUAAAACAUGAGGGCACGGAAGACAUGGGAAAUGGGAGGGCAGCAAUCAUUGUCCAUCUUUGUUUCGUUUGCCGAAAACAAACCUAUGAUUUGACUAGACCUCUUACCCCCAUGCUAUCGGACGGCCGAUAUGUGGCUAUCAUGUUAUACGUGGCAUCUGAUUUCAUGCGUCCGAGAAAGAGUGGGCCAUGAACGCAAGGGACCAAAGUUGACCACCUGGGCGUAUAUGAGCAAGAACAAUGCAGAGUAAAAGAUGCUCAAGUACAUGACCAACUCAACUCAUUUUUGUCACUACAUUUUGGGCAACAUUUUGACAAGUGUUGCUUGGCCUAAUUGUUAGCUUAGUCGUUUUAAUUUUUCCAAAAAUCCAUGUUUAGUUCGCUAUCAAAAUAAGCCAUAUGUAGUCAUUUAAUGAAGUUCGUCAGAAUCACUAACCAAUUCAGUUCAAUGUUUUUAUUCAAUUACCACAUGUUAUUUAAAACAUAACAAGAAGUUUGAUAAAAUGUCUCAACGAGAAAGUAAAGAACAUCAUAAUAAAUUGCUAACAAAGACUUCAAUUUGACCUCGUUAAAAUGCCUCAAAAUGAAGUCAAGUACGUAUCGAAGCAGUGUUUUUUAACUUUAAUCAUUCAAGAAAAUUGAAAUUUAAAAUAAACCUAGUAUUAGAUUACAUAUUAAUUAUAGUUCCUUGAUGUGUUCUUAAUUCAAAAUAAUUAAUGUGCAUUUUAUUUAAUGUCUCCCAAUAAAUAUUUAACUUUAUUAAUAUACAAAUUUUAAUUUAUUUUUUGACCAAAAAAAAGUUUUUUUUUUUAAUUUAUUAAUUUUAUUUAACAUUCUUCAAACUUGAAAGACUCAAUUAAUGUACCUAAAUGUAUGUACCGAAAUGUAUUAUAUUGAACUAAUGUAUUUAAAUGUUAGUACCGAAAUGUAUGUACUAAAAUAUAUACACCGAAAUGUAUUAUAUUAAAUUAAUAUAUCAUAAAUGUGUGUACCGAAAUGUAUGCACCGAAAUGUAUUAUAUUAAAUUAAUAUACCAUAAAUGUGUGUACCGAAAUGUAUGCACCGAAAUGUAUUAUAUUGAAUUAAUGUACAUAAAUGUCUGUAUCGAAAUGUGUCACAUCUCGGCCCGAGAUUGUAAGAUCUCACAUCGCCCAAGGGAGUGGAUCAUGUAAGCUUUAUAUGUAUAUUCUCAUCUCUAUCUAACACGAUGCCUUUUGGGAGCUCAUUGGCUUCAGGUUCUGUAGGAACUCCAAAGUUAAGCGAGUUCGUGCGAGAGCAUUCCCAGGAUGGGUGAUCCACUGAGAAGUUUUCGUGUGAAUUCCCAGAAACAAAACCAUGAGGGCGUGGUCAGAGCCCAAAGCGGACAAUAUCGUGCUACGGUGGGGAGUCGAGCCCGGGAUGUGGUGAGGGCUCGGGUCGGGAUGUGACAAAAUGUAUGUACCGAAAUGUGUGUACCUAAAUGUAUGCACCGAAAUGUAUUAUAAUGAAUUUAAUGUACCUAAAUGAAUAAAAGACAAAAUACAUCGAAAUAUAUUGUAUAACAAGAAUUAGUAUAUCUAAAUGUUUAC